CUAUCCCUACAAAAGGCUUAAAGAAAUGCAAGCGCAAGUUAACAAGUUCUGGAGGAACUGGAGUCAACUUGCUGGUCCUAACUUAUUCGUAAGGAACAAAUGGCAUACCGCCAAGAGAAAUGUCGCAGUCGGGGACAUCGUCUGGAUGGCGGACCAAAACGCCCUUAGGGGUCAGUUCAGGAUUGCAAGAGUGGUUAGCGUCAACUCGGACAGCAAAGGAGUUGUGAGGGACGUCAAUGUCAGAACCUUCCCAAGCUACCCCGUUCCUGUCACAAGGCCUACCGGAGCAAAAGUAAGUCACCGAACAUCUAAGAAAUUCAAAGAAAAGAUCCCAGCAGCAGUUCUUCACAGAGACGUAAGGCGACUAGUGGUCUUGCUUCCCACCGAAGAACAGAACUAAACAUCUGACCCAAGUUGCACCUGUAACAUGCGACCUCCCAGGUGUCUCCACUGGAAGGUCGAGUGGGAGGUGUGAAGUCAACUUGGAAAAUCCCCGCUGGAUAUGAAGGGGUUAAUAUGCAGCGCCGACUGACAGCUGGGGGAAUCCCUCCUCAGAGCGUUACCUGGGAAAUCCGCGUCAUUGCAUCACCUGACCGGAAAGGACAGAAAGGGGAAGAGAGACUCUUUCAGGAAACGCCAGUUGCAAACAAAUCAGACAGCGUUCUGUCCAGCAGCAGGAGCAAAGCUGCGCUAGAAAACGCUGAAAAAGCAGAGCUGGUACAGCCAUAAAAAGCCUGGAGAAACGGCCGGUUUUUUACCUUGCAGUAUACCUAGCAGUUUACCACUUGCAACCCACUUACAACUGUACCCACAAUACCUACCUGCUACAACUUACCUGUACGUGUGAAAAUACAAAAAGAAAAGUAAAGAGGAGUUAAAGAAGGAAAACGGUGUGGUCAUUGCAUGAGUGGAACCCAGUUAAACCUCCUAUGGUCUGUACCAAUCCCUUUCAAGCAGGGAAGCUGCACAAACACUAGAUAGCUUGACAGU